rnacentral:rRNA from 1 species
AGGAUGAACGCUGGCGGCGUGCUUAACACAUGCAAGUCGAACGAUGAAGGCUGGAGCUUGCUCUGGCUGGAUUAGUGGCGAACGGGUGAGUAACACGUGAGUAACCUGCCCCAGACUCUGGGAUAAGCGCUGGAAACGGCGUCUAAUACCGGAUACGAGCUUCCACCGCAUGGUGAGGAGCUAGGAAAGAAUUUCGGUCUGGGAUGGACUCGCGGCCUAUCAGCUUGUUGGUGAGG